rnacentral:tRNA from 1 species
GGGGUCAUAGCUCAGUGGUAGGGCAUCUGCUUGGCACGCGGAAGGUCCCGAGUUCAAUCCCUGGCACCUCCA